UUUGUAGAAUGAACCGGCGAGUUACGAUAUGAUGCGAGGUUAAGUUGAAGAGACGGAGCCGUAGGGAAACCGAGUCUUAAUAGGGCGCAUUAGUAUCAUGUCGUAGACCCGAAACCAUGUGACCUACCCAUGAGCAGGUUGAAGGUGAGGUAAAACUCACUGGAGGACCGAACCAGGGCACGUUGAAAAGUGCUUGGAUGACUUGUGGGUAGCGGAGAAAUUCCAAACGAACUUGGAGAUAGCUGGUUCUCUCCGAAAUAGCUUUAGGGCUAGCGUCGAUGUUAAGUCUCUUGGAGGUAGAGCACUGUUUGGGUGAGGGGUCCAUCCCGGAUUACCAAUCUCAGAUAAACUCCGAAUGCCAACGAGAUAUAAUCGGCAGUCAGACUGCGAGUGCUAAGAUCCGUAGUCGAAAGGGAAACAGCCCAGACCACCAGCUAAGGUCCCAAAAUAUAUGUUAAGUGGAAAAGGAUGUGGGGUUGCACAGACAACUAGGAUGUUAGCUUAGAAGCAGCUAUUCAUUCAAAGAGUGCGUAAUAGCUCACUAGUCGAGUGACCCUGCGCCGAAAAUGUACCGGGGCUAAAACAUAUUACCGAAGCUGUGGAUACCUUUAUAGGUAUGGUAGGAGAGCGUUCUAUGUGCGAAGAAGGUGUACCGUGAGGAGUGCUGGAGCGCAUAGAAGUGAGAAUGCCGGUAUGAGUAGCGAAAGACAGGUGAGAAUCCUGUCCACCGUAAGACUAAGGUUUCCAGGGGAAGGCUCGUCCGCCCUGGGUUAGUCGGGACCUAAGGAGAGACCGAAAGGUGUAUCCGAUGGACAACAGGUUGAUAUUCCUGUACUAGAGUAUAUAGUGAUGGAGGGACGCAGUAGGCUAACUAAACCAGACGAUUGGAAGUGUCUGGCCAAGCAGUGAGGUGUGAUAUGAGUCAAAUGCUUAUAUCUAUAACAUUGAGCUGUGAUGGGGAGCGAAGUUUAGUAGCGAAGUUAGUGAUGUCACACUGCCGAGAAAAGCUUCUAGCGUUAAUUAUACUCUACCCGUACCGCAAACCGACACAGGUAGUCGAGGCGAGUAGCCUCAGGUGAGCGAGAGAACUCUCGUUAAGGAACUCGGCAAAAUGACCCCGUAACUUCGGGAGAAGGGGUGCUGACUUUACGUCAGCCGCAGUGAAUAGGCCCAAGCAACUGUUUAUCAAAAACACAGCUCUCUGCUAAAUCGUAAGAUGAUGUAUAGGGGGUGACGCCUGCCCGGUGCUGGAAGGUUAAGAGGAGUGCUUAGCAAUAGCGAAGGUAUGAAUUGAAGCCCCAGUAAACGGCGGCCGUAACUAUAACGGUCCUAAGGUAGCGAAAUUCCUUGUCGGGUAAGUUCCGACCCGCACGAAAGGCGUAAUGAUUUGGGCACUGUCUCGACAAUGCACCCGGUGAAAUUGAAAUACCAGUGAAGAUGCUGGUUACCUGCGCCAGGACGGAAAGACCCCAUGGAGCUUUACUCCAGCUUGAUACUGGGAUUCGAUACUGUAUGUACAGGAUAGGUGGGAGACGUUGAGCAUAGAACGCCAGUUUUAUGUGAGUCGCUGUUGGGAUACCACCCUUGCAGUAUUGGAUUUCUAACCUGCACCCAUGACCUGGGUGGGGGACAAUGUCUGGCGGGGAGUUUGACUGGGGCGGUCGCCUCCGAAAGGGUAUCGGAGGCGCUCAAAGGUUCCCUCAGAAUGGUUGGAAACCAUUCGAAGAGUGCAAAGGCAGAAGGGAGCUUGACUGCGACACCGACGGGUGGAGCAGGU
rnacentral:rRNA from 1 species